GCCUCGGUCUGUGCCCCAGUCACUGCCUUCACAAGCCGAAUGGCUCAAAUCUUAAUUUAAAAUAUACAAAAGAUGAAAGCCACUGAAGGCUUGUGAAAAUGUGUUUGUGGGCAGAGUGUGGUCCAUUAAGUGAUAUAAAAUGCCUCUGGGAGAACAUGAAAGGUCUAAGCCACGUCCCUUUGUGGGUUUAAUUUGUGUGCUUCUGUGUCAUGUAAAUGUUUCUGGAAAUGUCACCCUGUAUCUCUUGCCCAGUAGUUUUCAAGUCAUGUUGAAGACUUGAAUCAUAUUCCCCAAAACCUUCCUUUCCUAUCUUUAUUUCAACAUUUGAAGCGUGUAGAGAAGCCAGUCCCACACAGAGGCCCAUGCCAUUCAUGCCAUGGUGGAUACAUACAGUAGAGAUGGGUUAUAUUGGUUUGUAUAGAUUAAGAAGCAAGCAGUAACCCAGGGACAUUAGGACUCCAGCGUUGUGCUCAGGUCAUACUGUGCUAGCUGUUUACAAGCUGAUUUUUUUUGCAGCCAGACUUGCGCAUGGUCCAGUCCAUUCUCAGCAUUUGGUGUGUUACCACAGUACGUAUCACUAGUGAUUAUUACAGUGUGGAAACGUCAUUAACCAUUACAUUUCUUCUACUAUCCUUGGACUGAAUACGGCACUUUUGCCAAAUUAUGAGGACUCGGCCAGGAGAUUGUGCCAUCCUGGGUGGAUGGAGGAUGGGGGAAGAGCACGAUGCUGUCCAUAACCAUUACUUACUGGCAGGAGGAGGAGCUGGCCCUGCAUUACACUUAAAAUGGAGUUUGAUUCCGGGUAAUGGGUCAGUGGUGAUGAUAUUGCUCAGAUAAAUGCAGGAAAGGAAGGACUGCCCAUCUGAGCUGACCAUAUGGGAGACGUGAGGCCUGGCAGUGCCAAUGUUCAGCUAUUGCACCUGGAGCCACUGAUGAUGGCUUGAUUAAUUCUCAGUGAUUUUUUUUCUCCACCUUCCUCCCCACGACUUUUCCGACUGGCAUAAAGUUGUGCUGUGGCAGGUGCAGUUGCUGGGUAAAGAGAACCUAGCCACUUUCAGGCUGCAACUUUGAGCCUGCUCUGAGCCAAGCAUCAGGAGUGACUUUUUGUCUUCAAAGCUGGAGAGACAUUUCCCACCAGUGCAGAUGAAGGUGCCUCUUCCCUCCAAGGCCAUAGAAGAGCAGAGGGCAGACAGUGAGCUAAGUUCUGUUCUCACUCCUGAAGUGUUGGCCACUGCCACGGUGCGCUGCAGCAUAAGGCAACAAAGAGCAGCCCUGCAGAAUCCGCGUGUGAACAAAGGCGAGAGCGCCGGGUUUGUCCUCGGCAGGUUCCUGCCCACCCCGUCCAUUCAUCAUCUGAAGAGGAAAUCUGAGGAGCACAAAGACUAUCCCUCUAAGCUCUAACAGAGGUUAGGAAUUUUGAAGUCGGCUGUAUUUUUCCCCAGAGUAUUUCUCUGUCUGGGUCUUUUUCUUGCUCUCUUCCCUCCACCUCUCCUUUCUCUUUUCAUUUUUCCCCUUUCAUUCCCUCUCUCUCUUCUACCGCCAGUCUGGGUUUCUUUGUCUUUCCCUAAUAUAUUGCUUCUCCUCCACCCCUGCCCAGGAAACGAGACGAUUUAGUCACCUUGCUUCUUCAGACUCUAGAAGGAGCCCAGGCUCCAAUGAGGGGUUGGUACUUUAAGUUUUACAUGCCAUGCGGGAGGGUGAACAAUACUUUUUUGCCCAUAGAUUUGGAUGAAAAGAAAUCUAAGUUGUUGCUGCGGAAAAGGAGAAACUCAACAAUCAAACUGAAGGCAGGACGUGGAAUAUUACACAAAAUGACCAUCAAAACCCUUAGAUGUGGCUUUCCUUCCACACUCAGAAGAGUUCACAAUAGUACAGCUGGUUCUAAUCAUACAAAUUCCACACCAGAAGUCUUCCUUUGUUUUCACUGGUGUAAAUUCAGAGCAAGUUCAGCAAGUUGCUCUGAAUUUACCCAGCUAUGGAGGACAGCUGAUUUCAUUUGAGCUGUAGAAGAGACAAUCUUAUUUUUGCUUUCCCUAGGAUUACAGUAAGCUUGUCAAUCAAUGCCCAGAGGCAGUCUACACAACACAGUUGUGCCAGCUUGAAAAUCAGAAGUAACAGCAGAGGAGAAAAGUGAGCACCAAAGAUCAGGAAUGAGUCACAGGAAAAACAACUUGGCUCCAUCAGAGAUUUCUUUGGCUUCCUGAGGUAUUCACCUGUCUGUCCAG